AUUGAACGCUGGCGGCAGGCCUAACACAUGCAAGUCGAGCGGAUGAAGGGAGCUUGCUCCUGGAUUCAGCGGCGGACGGGUGAGUAAUGCCUAGGAAUCUGCCUGGUAGUGGGGGAUAACGUCCUGAAACGGGCGCUAAUACCGCAUACGUCCUGAUGGAGAAAGUGGGGGAUCUUCGGACCUCACGCUAUCAUAUGAGCCUAGGUCGGAUUAGCUCGUUGGUGGGGUAAAGGCCUACCAAGGCGACGAUCCGUAACUGGUCUGAGAGGAUGAUCAGUCACCCCGGAAGUGAGACACGGUCCAGACUCCUACGGGAGGCAGCAGUGGGGAAUAUUGGACAAUGGGCGAAAGCCUGAUCCAGCCAUGCCGCGUGUGUGAAGAAGGUCUUCGGAUUGUAAAGAACUUUAAGUUGGGAGGAAGGGCAGUAAGUUCAUACCUUGCUGUUUUGACGUUACCAACAGAAUAAGCACCGGCUAACUUCGUG
rnacentral:rRNA from 1 species